ACGUCAGCGGUCAACAGAACGGAAUUGAAUGUGACUAUGCAGCUCAAAGCGCGCGACAAAGAGAGCGAGGGCAUGCUUCUUUGCUUCGCGCGAUGAGAGAGAAAGGGAACGAUCGAGUUUUCAAAUAGGGAACUGAGCUUCCAAAAUCGACGACUCUCGAACCAAUCAAUAGUUCGGGUCCUGCGCCGACAAUACUUCCAAUACUGAGAGGUUGCUUAAGAGAAUCAAAGACGUUAGGGACUUCUAUCGUCAGAGGUCAAGUACCAAGAGACUUCUUUUCAUUAGCUCUGAAGGAUUUUGGACUAGUAGCAAUGAGAUUUAAGUUUUCCUUUCUCAUUGUUAUUCUGUGUAUUUGUUUUUAGUUUGCUCAGAUGUGGCGGGAAUUUCAUCUGAUUAUGGACAUACUUCUACAACUCCUUAUCAAUGUUGGAAGUAACGGUAUUGUUGCAUGAAGAGAGAAUGAGUAUAUGCGUGCAGCUUUCUCUCUAACGAAGAUCAUAUGGAUUUAAUGAUGAUUAUAUAGAAUUUCACUCUCUAUGCUUUCUGUUUUGUCAUGAACAGAGAAUGGGUACUUACCUUCUUCAAAAUUGAGUACUUGAUCAUAAAGCGUGAGGCUUUGGUUAUGAUGUUUUUGAUGUUGGGUUGUCAUUGAGCGGUGGGCAGGCAAAGAAGCUCAAAGUUGUGGUACUCGAGCAGCUCAACCGACAGUGACACUAAUGACACAAAGAAAGUUGGUGCUGAAGAAGAUUUUGACGAUUUUCUUAGGUGGCUUGAAAGAUACGAAAUGGAAGCCCGAGUAGUGGAUCCAAAUUAAGAGGGGUUGGGGAUUUCAUGGUGUGCACAAGGUAUUUUUACUCAGUUGAAUGAUAUAGUUUCCUUGUGUAUGUGGACGCAUAUGUCUGCAAAUACAUCUGCAUUGUGUCAUAACGUGUAAAGAUUACUAGGGUAAUUUGACCAGAGCUUCCAAACCAUGUUUACUCCAACAAAAUGAAAAAAAGAAACAUCUAAUUAUAGUUUAUUUUAAUAUGGUUCUGCUUAAGCAAACUCAAAUUGAUCUAAAACUCUUACUGUGAUGUGAUGGAUUUUAGGUGUUGAUACAUACUGGUAGUUCAAUCCUUUCUCUAAACCUUCCUAUGGGGACUGCUUCAUUCAGUGUCUCAUCACUUAAGUUCAUAGACUUCUUUAUGUUAUGAAUUGCAUGAACUCUGAUUCAUUGAAUUGGAGAGCACGAUUAAUUUGAUUGAUAAUCUGUUUUGAAAAUUGUCAGAGUGAGAUAAAUUGCAUCUUUUGGUUCUGUUUUUAUUUUCAUUUUUUUUAUUCAAA